UGAGGAAUAUUGGUCAAUGGACGAGAGUCUGAACCAGCCAAGUAGCGUGAAGGAUGACUGCCCUAUGGGUUGUAAACUUCUUUUAUACGGGAAUAAAGUGGAGUAUGCAUACUCCUUUGUAUGUACCGUAUGAAUAAGGAUCGGCUAACUCCGUGCCAGCAGCCGCGGUAAUACGGAGGAUCCGAGCGUUAUCCGGAUUUAUUGGGUUUAAAGGGAGCGUAGGCGGGUGCUUAAGUCAGUUGUGAAAGUUUGCGGCUCAACCGUAAAAUUGCAGUUGAUACUGGAUAUCUUGAGUGCAGUUGAGGCAGGCGGAAUUCGUGGUGUAGCGGUGAAAUGCUUAGAUAUCACGAAGAACUCCGAUUGCGAAGGCAGCCUGCUAAGCUGCAACUGACAUUGAGGCUCGAAAGUGUGGGUAUCAAACAGGAUUAGAUACCCUGGUAGUCCACACGGUAAACGAUGAAUACUCGCUGUUUGCGAUAUACUGCAAGCGGCCAAGCGAAAGCGUUAAGUAUUCCACCUGGGGAGUACGCCGGCAACGGUGAAACUCAAAGGAAUUGACGGGGGCCCGCACAAGCGGAGGAACAUGUGGUUUAAUUCGAUGAUACGCGAGGAACCUUACCCGGGCUUAAAUUGCAGAUGAAUUACGGUGAAAGCCGUAAGCCGCAAGGCAUCUGUGAAGGUGCUGCAUGGUUGUCGUCAGCUCGUGCCGUGAGGUGUCGGCUUAAGUGCCAUAACGAGCGCAACCCUUGUUGUCAGUUACUAACAGGUUUUGCUGAGGACUCUGACAAGACUGCCAUCGUAAGAUGUGAGGAAGGUGGGGAUGACGUCAAAUCAGCACGGCCCUUACGUCCGGGGCUACACACGUGUUACAAUGGGGGGUACAGAGGGCCGCUACCACGCGAGUGGAUGCCAAUCCCCAAAACCUCUCUCAGUUCGGACUGGAGUCUGCAACCCGACUCCACGAAGCUGGAUUCGCUAGUAAUCGCGCAUCAGCCACAGCGCGGUGAAUACGUUCCC
rnacentral:rRNA from 1 species